rnacentral:rRNA from 1 species
UACGAAGGGGGCUAGCGUUGUUCGGAAUUACUGGGCGUAAAGCGCACGUAGGCGGACUGUUAAGUCGGGGGUGAAAGCCCAGAGCUCAACUCUGGAAUUGCCUUCGAUACUGGCAGUCUUGAGGACGGGAGAGGUGAGUGGAAUUCCUAGUGUAGAGGUGAAAUUCGUAGAUAUUAGGAAGAACACCAGUGGCGAAGGCGGCUCACUGGCCCGUAUCUGACGCUGAGGUGCGAAAGCGUGGGGAGCAAACAGG